rnacentral:rRNA from 1 species
CAAAUAUAUUAUAAAAUAUUAUUAAUAAGAAUUAAUUAUUAUAGAUAAUUUUAAAUUUAAAUUUAUUAGGUAAAAUUAUAAAUUUAAUUUAAAUUAAUAUAUUAAAAUGAUAUUUAGAUAUUUAAAUUUUAAACUAGGAUUAGAUACCCUAUUAUUUUAAAUGUAAAUUUGUUAUUAAAUUAGUAUUAGUUAUAUCUUGAAAAUUAAAAAAUUUGGCGGUAUUUUAGUCUUUUCAGAGGAACCUGUUUUUUAAAUGAUAACCCACGAUUUAAUUUACUUUUAUUAUUAAUUUGUAUAUCAUCGUAAUUAAGUAUUUUUUUAGAACUUAAUAUUUUGAAUUUUUUAUUAAAAAAUUUAUCAGAUCAAGGUGCAAUUUAUAUAAAAGUUAAAAUGGGUUACAAUAAAUUUAUUUUUGGAUAAUAUUUAUUAUUAAAUGUUUGAAUUUGGAUUUGAAAGUCAUAUUAAUUAAUU